rnacentral:rRNA from 1 species
GCUUUGUGGUUCAACUGAUUUGAAGAGCUUGCUCAGAUAUGACGAUGGACAUUGCAAAGAGUGGCGAACGGGUGAGUAACACGUGGGAAACCUACCUCUUAGCAGGGGAUAACAUUUGGAAACAGAUGCUAAUACCGUAUAACAAUGACAACCGCAUGGUUGUUAUUUAAAAGAUGGUUCUGCUAUCACUAAGAGAUGGUCCCGCGGUGCAUUAGCUAGUUGGUAAGGUAAUGGCUUACCAAGGCGAUGAUGCAUAGCCGAGUUGAGAGACUGAUCGGCCACAAUGGGACUGAGACACGGCCCAUACUCCUACGGGAGGCAGCAGUAGGGAAUCUUCCACAAUGGGCGAAAGCCUGAUGGAGCAACGCCGCGUGUGUGAUGAAGGGUUUCGGCUCGUAAAACACUGUUGUAAGAGAAGAAUGACAUUGAGAGUAACUGUUCAAUGUGUGACGGUAUCUUACCAGAAAGGAACGGCUAAAUACGUGCCAGCAGCCGCGGUAAUACGUAUGUUCCAAGCGUUAUCCGGAUUUAUUGGGCGUAAAGCGAGCGCAGACGGUUAUUUAAGUCUGAAGUGAAAGCCCUCAGCUCAACUGAGGAAUUGCUUUGGAAACUGGAUGACUUGAGUGCAGUAGAGGAAAGUGGAACUCCAUGUGUAGCGGUGAAAUGCGUAGAUAUAUGGAAGAACACCAGUGGCGAAGGCGGCUUUCUGGACUGUAACUGACGUUGAGGCUCGAAAGUGUGGGUAGCAAACAGGAUUAGAUACCCUGGUAGUCCACACCGUAAAC